rnacentral:rRNA from 1 species
ACGUUGACCCGUAAUCCGGGUUGCGGACAGUGUCUGGUGGGUAGUUUGACUGGGGCGGUCUCCUCCUAAAGAGUAACGGAGGAGCACGAAGGUUGGCUAAUCCUGGUCGGACAUCAGGAGGUUAGUGCAAUGGCAUAAGCCAGCUUGACUGCGAGCGUGACGGCGCGAGCAGGUGCGAAAGCAGGUCAUAGUGAUCCGGUGGUUCUGAAUGGAAGGGCCAUCGCUCAACGGAUAAAAGGUACUCCGGGGAUAACAGGCUGAUACCGCCCAAGAGUUCAUAUCGACGGCGGUGUUUGGCACCUCGAUGUCGGCUCAUCACAUCCUGGGGCUGAAGUAGGUCCCAAGGGUAUGGCUGUUCGCCAUUUAAAGUGGUACGCGAGCUGGGUUUAGAACGUCGUGAGACAGUUCGGUCCCUAUCUGCCGUGGGCGCUGGAGAACUGAGGGGGGCUGCUCCUAGUACGAGAGGACCGGAGUGGACGCAUCACUGGUGUUCGGGUUGUCAUGCCAAUGGCACUGCCCGGUAGCUAAAUGCGGAAGAGAUAAGUGCUGAAAGCAUCUAAGCACGAAACUUGCC